rnacentral:misc_RNA from 1 species
AGGAUCAUUAAAGAAAUUUAAUAAUUUUGAAAAUGGAUUUUUUUGUUUUGGCAAGAGCAUGAGAGCUUUUACUGGGCAAGAAGACAAGAGAUGGAGAGUCCAGCCGGGCCUGCGCUUAAGUGCGCGGUCUUGCUAGGCUUGUAAGUUUCUUUCUUGCUAUUCCAAACGGUGAGAGAUUUCUGUGCUUUUGUUAUAGGACAAUUAAAACCGUUUCAAUACAACACACUGUGGAGUUUUCAUAUCUUUGCAACUUUUUCUUUGGGCAUUCGAGCAAUCUCGGGGCCCAGAGGUAACAAACACAAACAAUUUUAUUUAUUCAUUAAAUUUUUGUCAAAAACAAGAAUUUUCGUAACUGGAAAUUUUAAAAUAUUAAAAACUUUCAA